GAUGAACGCUGGCGGCGUGCCUAAUACAUGCAAGUCGAGCGAAAAGACGAGGAGCUUGCUCCUCUGACGUUAGCGGCGGACGGGUGAGUAACACGUGGAUAACCUACCUAUAAGACUGGGAUAACUUCGGGAAACCGGAGCUAAUACCGGAUAAUAUAUUGAACCGCAUGGUUCAAUAGUGAAAGACGGUUUUGCUGUCACUAAUAGAUGGAUCCGCGCCGCAUUAGCUAGUUGGUAAGGUAACGGCUUACCAAGGCAACGAUGCGUAGCCGACCUGAGAGGGUGAUCGGCCACACUGGAACUGAGACACGGUCCAGACUCCUACGGGAGGCAGCAGUAGGGAAUCUUCCGCAAUGGGCGAAAGCCUGACGGAGCAACGCCGCGUGAGUGAUGAAGGUCUUCGGAUCGUAAAACUCUGCUAUUAGGGAAGAACAAAUGUGUAAGUAACUAUGCACGUCUUGACGGUACCUAAUCAGAAAGCCACGGCUAACUACGUG
rnacentral:rRNA from 1 species